CCGUGGUCAGCCAUGUGUGGAAGAAGAAAGCAAGCAAUUUUUCGAAGUUUUAUACAAUCGGAAGAAUUUUGUGAGUCCAUGCGCAAGGGCCAUCUCCCUAAUUCUCGGAAGUUUAUCUUGUUUGUGGACAAGAAAAUGUCCCUAGAAACAUCAGACGUAGUCCAUUAUGAAGAUUAAUCCUACUGUAUAAAAAAAGCAUCAAGGAAACCCCAGAGUUGGAACUUUGAAGAAAGUGACAGAUACAAUUACUAAAAUUGUUGAAUUGUCAAAGCUGUUGGAUGAUUUGUACAUGCAGAUUUGUGUGGUGUUUCAAGAUUAUUAUUUUUUUUUUAAUUAUUGUGAUUAAACAAUUCUAAUAUGAAUAUUUUACAUUUAUAUUUAUUUAAAAUGUUGGCUUAUAUUAACAAUGCAUUUUGUAAAUAAAUAUUUAUAAAGGUAUAGCUCAUUUAUUUAUUUUAAUUUUUGAAAAUUUACCAGCACAUAAACAAAGGAACUAUGUGCUACGAUUAUGGUUCUUAUGUCUUACAAUGGCAUAUUCUGUACGUUAAUCAACUAGCAGUGCUGCUAAAUAUUAUGUUUUUUUGUUGUUUAAUGUUUCAAUUUUGUAACAGAAACUAUGUCUCCUAAGCAAAACUUAUUGUGGGAAUUUUUAGCAAAAAUUUUCGGGAUUUACAUAUCAUUAUAAGCUCUAUUGGUGUGUUUUUGCACUAAAAUAAUAAUAAAUACAGUAAAUGGAUAUUUAUUCAAAACUAGAUGAUUUAAGUACAAUGUAUCUAUACUUUUUAUUACUUCACAAGUUAACAUACUUUUUCAUUGUAGUAUAAACACUGGUCCUACUUCCUACAAAUAUAUAAACUUAAAAAUUUUAAGGUUCAUAUGCUUUUCAAUUGUGCUUUUUACACUUAACCAAUUUGGUUACAGUUUGAUACAUAGGUAGCCCAUAUACUGGAUUAACACAAAUGCUAUAGAGUAACUUAUCAUUAA